rnacentral:ncRNA from 2 species
GCCGGUGGGAAUCCGGCACUGUCCCGCAACGGUGAUGGGGCCCGGCCCCGAGUCCGG